CCUGCUGCCGGCUGCUGCGCUCCCUAAACCAGACAGGUGUGCAGUGGGCUCACCGGCCUGACCUCGGCCAUUGGCUCACCAGCUCUGACCACAAAGCGGAGCUCUCUGUCCUGGCUGCCCUCUCCCUCCUCAUAGUUUUUGUGCUGGUGCAGAGGGGGUGCUCCCCUGUGUCCAAGGCUGCCCUGGCGCUGGGGCUGCUGGGCGUCUACUGCUACCGGGCGGCCAUCGGGAGUGUCCGGUUCCCGUGGCGGCCGGACAGCAAGGACAUUUCCAAGUAAGUGCGUGGCGGACACGGGGUGCAUAGAGCCACUUUACUGUUUGAUGAACUGGCGGACACGGGGCGCGUGGAACCACUUUACCCUGAUGAACUGGCAGACACGGGGUGUGUGGAACCACUUUACUGUUUGAUGAACUGAGAAGACCAAGCCAGUCUUCAGAGCAUUGGAGUUUGGUGUUUGUGAAUUGUGAUUGUGUCAACAGCUACUGGAGUGUAACUAAGAAAACCUCAACCAGCUGCGUUGUUAGCACUUUUUAUGUUUUAUGUGUUACUUUUAGGAGAGAAAUCACUUGGAAGUAAGAUUUUUAAAAUUUAAAAUAAAACCUUCAGGGUGUGUGAUGGGACAGAC
rnacentral:sRNA from 1 species